rnacentral:rRNA from 1 species
AGAGUUUGAUUCUGGCUCAGAACGAACGCUGGCAGCGUGGAUGAGGCAUGCAAGUCGAGCGGGAUCCUGGUUUAUAGCAAUAUAGACCUGGUGAGAGCGGCGAAAGGGUGAGGAACACGUGGGCAACUUGCCUCUGAGUUGGGGAUAGCCCUUCGAAAGGAGGGAUAAUACCGGAUAUGGUUCUCCUGCGCAUGUGGGGGGUACUAAAGGCUGGGAUCCUUCGGGACCAAUCGCUCGGAGAGAGGCCCGCGUCCCAUCAGCUAGUUGGUGAGGUAACGGCCCACCAAGGCUAUGACGGGUAGCUGGUCUGAGAGGAUGGUCAGCCACACUGGGACUGAGACACUGCCCAGACUCCUACGGGAGGCUGCAGUCGAGGAUCUUUUGCAAUGCGCGAAAGCGUUACAAAGCGACGCUGCGUGGAGGAUGAAGGCCUUCGGGUUGUAAACUCCCGUCAUCCGGGAAAAACGGCCCUGCCGUGAACAGCGGUGGGGUGUGAUGGUACCGGGAGAGGAAGCCACGGCUAACUCUGUGCCAGCAGCCGCGGUAAUACAGAGGUGGCGAGCGUUGUUCGGAUUUACUGGGCGUAAAGGGUGCGUAGGCGGUAUCGUAUGCCGGAUGUGAAAGCCCACCGCUUAACGGUGGAACUGCAUCCGAAACUACGGUGCUAGAGUGCAGGAGAGGAGAGCGGAAUUCUCGGUGUAGCGGUGAAAUGCGUUGAUAUCGAGAGGAACACCGGUGGCGGAGGCGGCUCUCUGGAAUGCUACUGACGCUGAGGCACGAAAGCUGGGGGAGCAAACAGGAUUAGAUACCCUGGUAGUCCCAGCCCUAAACGGUGUGCACUUGGUGUGGGGGGAAUUGACCCCUCCCGUGCCGGAGCUAACGCGUUAAGUGCACCGCCUGGGGAGUACGGCCGCAAGGCUAAAACUCAAAGAAAUUGACGGGGGCCCGCACAAGCGGAGGAGCAUGUGGCUUAAUUCGAUGCUACGCGAAGAACCUUACCAGGGCUUGACAUGUAGCUGCACGCCCGCCGAAAGGUGGGAAGCCUUCGAGGGUGCUACACAGGUGCUGCAUGGCUGUCGUCAGUUCGUGCCGUGAGGUGUUGGGUUAAGUCCCGCAACGAACGCAACCCUUGUGUUUAGUUGCCACCCCCGAUGAUGAGUCGGGGAGCACUCUAAACAGACUGCCCGUACAAGCGGGAGGAAGGUGGGGAUGACGUCAAGUCAGUAUGGCCCUUACGUCCUGGGCUGCACACGUGCUACAAUGGACGGCACAAAAGGAUGCAAGACCGCGAGGUGGAGCAAAUCCCCAAAACCGUCCUCAGUUCGGAUUGAAGUCUGCAACUUGACUUCAUGAAG